UACAGAGGUCUCAAGCGUUGUUCGGAUUCAUUGGGCGUAAAGGGUGCGUAGGUGGCGCCGUAAGUCGGGUGUGAAAUUUCGGAGCUUAACUCCGAAACUGCAUUCGAUACUGCGGUGCUUGAGGACUGGAGAGGAGACUGGAAUUCAUGGUGUAGCAGUGAAAUGCGUAGAGAUCAUGAGGAAGACCAGUGGCGAAGGCGGGUCUCUGGACAGUUCCUGACACUGAGGCGCGAAGGCCAGGGGAGCAAACGGG
rnacentral:rRNA from 1 species